CCUGGCCCAGUGGGAGGCCAGACCCACAGCACUGAGGCUCCAGGCAGCCCCUGCCCUGCCCACCCAGCAUCCCAGGUGUGAAAAGUUCCAGGUUCUGAGGAUAAGAGGAACACGGAGCGCAGGAAUCUAUAAAUAUGAGACAAUAGUCCUUCCGAAAGUGCAGGCAGCCUCCUCUCGCCCAGCACCGGCACUCAGCAACCGCAUCUGCCACUGCGCCUGCUUCUCUGUGCCGCCCUGAUUAUAGUGAGAGUCGGGAAAAUUAAGGGUUUUCGGGGACGCUGCCAGGGCCCAGGCUGCUGCCUCCCUGCCCUGUGCGUCACACAUGCCAGGCGGAGCCGCCCCUUAUCGGCCACUUGCCCUAGCCGGCAAUGCCACCCGGACUAGGCGGACGGCACAGCAGGGUCUCACUUUAGGACCCACCUCUCAGCAUCUCUGCCGAGAAGGUCAAGAUGGUGCAACCUUGAAGAUGCUUACAAGGAUGGGCUGGCCUGGAAAGGCUUCUGCAGCUGGCAUAGCUACAGUCUGGAACAUCAGUGACGUUCAGGCAGACUUCCUGGAGGAGGUGAGGUUUCAGCUGCAGAUGGGAAGAAGAGAUAAAAGUGGCAGGGCUGGGUCGGUCCCUUGUCCCCUGGCCUCCUGCCCUCAUUUGGGUGUCUGUUGACCACCCUGACCACAGUCCUCACACUCCACUUUCAAUCCCAUGCCCUGACUUUAUUUGCUUUUCGUGGCUCUUGCGACUCUCUGCUG
rnacentral:lncRNA from 1 species